UACGUACCGUACGAACGUUAUUCGGAAUUACUGGGCUUAAAGGGUUUGUAGGCGGCUUUGUAAGUCAGGUGUGAAAUCCCUCGGCUCAACCGAGGAAUGGCGCUUGAUACUGCAAGGCUUGAGGGAGACAGGGGUAAGCGGAACUGAUGGUGGAGCGGUGAAAUGCGUUGAUAUCAUCAGGAACACCGGUGGCGUAAGCGGCUUACUGGGUCUCUUCUGACGCUGAGGAACGAAAGCUAGGGGAGCGAACGGG
rnacentral:rRNA from 1 species